rnacentral:rRNA from 1 species
CAUGCAAGUCGAACGAUGAACCUGGAGCUUGCUCUAGGGGAUUAGUGGCGAACGGGUGAGUAACACGUGAGUAACCUGCCCUUGACUCUGGGAUAACCUCCGGAAACGGAAGCUAAUACCGGAUACGACGUACGGAGGCAUCUCCUGUACGUGGAAAGAACUUCGGUCAAGGAUGGACUCGCGGCCUAUCAGGUAGUUGGUGAGGUAACGGCCCACCAAGCCUACGACGGGUAGCCGGCCUGAGAGGGUGACCGGCCACACUGGGACUGAGACACGGCCCAGACUCCUACGGGAGGCAGCAGUGGGGAAUAUUGCACAAUGGGCGCAAGCCUGAUGCAGCAACGCCGCGUGAGGGACGACGGCCUUCGGGUUGUAAACCUCUUUUAGUAGGGAAGAAGCGAAAGUGACGGUACCUGCAGAAAAAGCACCGGCUAACUACGUGCCAGCAGCCGCGGUAAUACGUAGGGUGCGAGCGUUGUCCGGAAUUAUUGGGCGUAAAGAGCUCGUAGGCGGUCUGUCGCGUCUGCUGUGAAAACCCGAGGCUCAACCUCGGGCCUGCAGUGGGUACGGGCAGACUAGAGUGCGGUAGGGGAGAAUGGAAUUCCUGGUGUAGCGGUGGAAUGCGCAGAUAUCAGGAGGAACACCGAUGGCGAAGGCAGUUCUCUGGGCCGUAACUGACGCUGAGGAGCGAAAGCGUGGGGAGCGAACAGGAUUAGAUACCCUGGUAGUCCACGCCGUAAACGUUGGGCGCUAGAUGUGGGGACCAUUCCACGGUUUCCGUGUCGCAGCUAACGCAUUAAGCGCCCCGCCUGGGGAGUACGGCCGCAAGGCUAAAA